rnacentral:rRNA from 1 species
UCAUUAGGUUGGGCACUUUAACGAGACUGCCGGUGACAAACCGGAGGAAGGUGGGGAUGACGUCAAGUCCUCAUGGCCCUUAUGGGUAGGGCUUCACACGUCAUACAAUGGUCGGUACAGAGGGUUGCGAAGCCGCGAGGUGGAGCCAAUCCCAGAAAGCCGAUCGUAGUCCGGAUCGCAGGCUGCAACUCGCCUGCGUGAAGUCGGAAUCGCUAGUAAUCGUGGAUCAGCAUGUCACGGUGAAUACGUUCCCGGGUCUUGUACACACCGCCCGUCACACCAUGGGAGCGGGUCUCGCCAGAAGUAGGUAGCCUAACCGCAAGGAGGG